GAGGCAGUCAUCUUGGCACCUCAGGAUACAGCAGAAGAAUCAACAAUAGUCUCAUUGGCAGGAGCAGAGAGGAUAAACCACUGUUCUACUCUUUGAUACCUCAUUCCCUAACAAAGAAGCAGCAGGUUGUGGUUUCUGAGAGCCCAGGCUACGUAGAUGGGAAUGGAAGAAUGAGAAGGGAGCCAGGGCCAAGGUGGGGACUGUGUCCAGCAUAUGAAGUGCUCUUCUCUGCAGCCAUCCCUACUGCAAGGAGGAGUCUGACUGACUUCAGUAAUCAGCCUUCAAAUGGUGUGUGUUGUACAUAGACAGGAAAGUCUUUGUGGAAGCCGUUACUCAGACUGCACAGGGGGCAUGCUGCUUGGAGAUUCAGUGGUGAUCUUGCUGCUGGGACUCUGGAAGCUGGAGCACGUGUUGGAAGUAGAAGAAGACACAGGCCUGGAGAGACCUCUACGGAACGGGUAGCACUGAGUGCAGUGACGCGGUAGCUUGAGAGGUGAGGUUCUGGAGGAAACAGCCCCAGCUCCACUCUCCUGCACCCCCUCUCCCAGGGUGACUAUAUCGUCUUGUGCCCUGGAGUCUGUCCACAUGUGCAGGAGAUACAUGUCACAUCUUCUCUGAGCUCUGCACAGCUUCUCACAGAUCUACCUCAAAAUGUCCUGGAGACACACAACUGAAGUGCCAAAGGAAACCUUCUGAACCAUCUUCCUCCAUUACUUGCUAUCCAUUUCACAUGAAAUGGUGUUGGAGUGCCUAUCUUGGCUGCUCAGAGAAACAGGUGUUACAGUGAACACCUGCAUUUUAAGAAGCAUCUACAAGGAUGAUGGAAUAUUAUUUCCUAAAAGAUCCAUAAAGCCAUCUGCUGUGGAGAAGACCCAUGAAAGAACCUGCAGUGCGAUGGAGCUGUGCCUGUUGUGACUCCAAGAAGAUUCACACGAGGACCUAGAGGAUAAAAUGAGAUGGGACCUGCAUAUCUCCUUUUGGUGCCUUUCCUCUUACAGAAGGACCUUGUCUAUAGAGAGGGAUGGUGACACUCAGGCGUGGACCCACUGCAGUCAGGCAGCAAGUAUAUUGUAUUAGUUUUACCUAUGUUGCUGUGAUAAACUACCCUGACAGAAGC